rnacentral:rRNA from 1 species
GACGAACGCUGGCGGCGUGCUUAACACAUGCAAGUCGAACGGUGAAAGCGGAGCUUGCUCCGCUGGAUCAGUGGCGAACGGGUGAGUAACACGUGGGCAACCUGCCCCAGACUUCGGGAUAACUCCUCGAAAGAGGUGCUAAUACCGGAUACGAAGCCCCCAGGCAUCUGGGGGCUUGGAAAGCUUUUCGGUCUGGGAUGGGCCCGCGGCCUAUAAGCUUGUUGGUGAGGUAACGGCCCACCAAGGCGACGACGGGUAGCCGGCCGGGGAGGGCGCCCGGCAACACUGGACUGAGACACGGCCCAGACUCCUACGGGAGGCAGCAGUGGGGAAUAUUGCGCAAUGGGCGAAAGCCUGACGCAGCAACGCCGCGUGAGGGAUGACGGCCUUCGGGUUGUAAACCUCUUUCAGCAGGGAAGAAGCGAAAGUGACGGUACCUGCAGAAGAAGCACCGGCUAACUACGUGCCAGCAGCCGCCGCAGUAA